rnacentral:SRP_RNA from 14 species
CCCGCAAGUCACGGCAGCGAGCACCUGAUCAUCUGACACCGCUGCCUUUGUGGGCUGCGGUGGGUGGAGGGCUGUGCGACCAACCGCCGCCAGGCCC